GACGUCUACAUUAGAUACCCCUGUAGUCCCAGCCGUAAACUAUGCGCGUUAGGUGUAUCGGUGACCACGAGUUACCGAGGUGCCGAAGGGAAACCGUGAAACGUGCCGCCUGGGAAGUACGGUCGCAAGGCUGAAACUUAAAGGAAUUGGCGGGGGAGCACCACAACAGGUGGAGCCUGCGGUUUAAUUGGACUCAACGCCGGGAAGCUCACCGGAUAGGACAGCAGAAUGAUUGCCGGGCUGAAGACCCUGCAUGACUAGCUG
rnacentral:rRNA from 1 species